CAGGUCAGGCGGGGCUACCCGCUGAGUUUAAGCAUAUCAAUAAGCGGAGGAAAAGAAACUAACAAGGAUUCCCCUAGUAACGGCGAGCGA
rnacentral:rRNA from 1 species